AUUGAACGCUGGCGGCAGGCCUAACACAUGCAAGUCGAACGAGUGGGGGACGUGUGAGAAACGUCUGGGAACUAGCUAGAUGGAUGGGGAUACUUCCCGGAAACGGUACUUAAUACCGAUUACCAUCCGCUGGUCAAAGAUGGGACUAGCUAGUAGGUGGGGUAACGGCUCACCUAGGCGACGAUCCAUAGCUGGUCUGAGAGGAUGACCAGCCACACUGGAACGGAGACACGGUCCAGACUCCUACGGGAGGCAGCAGUGGGGAAUAUGUCACAAUGGGCGCAAGCCUGAUGCAGCCAUGCCGCGUGUAUGAAGAAGGCCUUCGGGUUGUAAAGUACUUUCAGCGAGGAGGCGUUACUCGCAGAAGAAGCACCGGCUAACUCCGUGCCAGCAGCCGCGGUAAUAC
rnacentral:rRNA from 1 species